rnacentral:rRNA from 1 species
AACGAACUGUGCAAACGUUAUUCGGAAUCACUGGGCUUGAAGAGUGCGUAGGCGGUUUUGUAAGUAGGGUGUGAAAGCCCCCGGCCCAACCGGGGAAUUGCGCCCUAAACUGCAAGGCUGGAGUGAGGUAGGGGUGUGUGGAACUUCUAGUGGAGCGGUGAAAUGUGUUGAUAUUAGAAGGAACGCCGGUGGCGAAAGCGACACACUGGACCUUGUCUGACGCUGAGGCACGAAAGCCAGGGGAGCAAACGGG